rnacentral:rRNA from 1 species
GCUACCACCGUGGCAGAAGCCUAGGUAAUACGGAGGAUCCAAUCUUUAUCCGGAAGUAGUGGGGUUAAAGGGUCCGUAGGCGGACUUAUAAGUCAGGGGAGAACGCGCAUCGCUUAACGAUGGAACGGCCAUUGAUACUGUAGGGCUUGAAUUUUUGUGAAGUAACUAGAAUAUGUAGUGUAGCGGUGAAAUGCUUAGAUAUUACAUGGAAUACCAAUUGCGAAGGCAGGUUACUAACAAACAAUUGACGCUGAUGGACGAAAGCGUGGGGAGCGAACAGGAUUAGAUACCCGAGUAGUC